CAGUCGCCGCGGGAAUACGUAGGUGGCAAGCGUUGUCCGGAAUUAUUGGGCGUAAAGCGCGCGCAGGCGGAUCAGUCAGUCUGUCUUAAAAGUUCGGGGCUUAACCCCGUGAUGAGAUGGAAACUGCCAAUCUAGAGUAUCGGAGAGGAAAGUGGAAUUCCUAGUGUAGCGGUGAAAUGCGUAGAUAUUAGGAAGAACACCAGUGGCGAAGGCGACUCUCUGGUCUGUAACUGACGCUGAGGAGCGAAAGCGUGGGGAGCGAACAGGAUUAGAGACCCCCGUAGUCCCUGUCUCUUAUACA
rnacentral:rRNA from 1 species